rnacentral:rRNA from 1 species
AAAUUGAAGAGUUUGAUCAUGGCUCAGAUUGAACGCUGGCGGCAGGCCUAACACAUGCAAGUCGAGCGGCAGCGGGAAGUAGUUUACUACUUUGCCGGCGAGCGGCGGACGGGUGAGUAAUGUCUGGGAAACUGCCUGAUGGAGGGGGAUAACUACUGGAAACGGUAGCUAAUACCGCAUAACGUCUUCGGACCAAAGUGGGGGACCUUCGGGCCUCACGCCAUCGGAUGUGCCCAGAUGGGAUUAGCUAGUAGGUGGGGUAAUGGCUCACCUAGGCGA